GACGUGACUUCAGAGUUUGAUCCUGGCUCAGGAUGAACGCUGGCGGCGUGCCUAACACAUGCAAGUCGAACGAAGCGACUCAAAGUUUUCGGACAGAGAGUUGACUGAGUGGCGGACGGGUGAGUAACGCGUGGGUAACCUGCCUCAUACAGGGGGAUAACAGUUAGAAAUGACUGCUAAUACCGCAUAAGCGCACAGCAUCGCAUGAUGCAGUGUGAAAAGCCGAGACGGUAUGAGAUGGACCCGCGUCUGAUUAGCUAGUUGGUGGGGUAACGGCCCACCAAGGCGACGAUCAGUAGCCGACCUGAGAGGGUGACCGGCCACAUUGGGACUGAGACACGGCCCAA
rnacentral:rRNA from 1 species